CAGUCGCGUUCUCUGGGAUUCAGCCUUGCUUCUUGCUUGGUGCAUUUCCUAGUCUACGGGCCAGCAUGAAUCUUGAGCGGUGGAAAAGGGUUUGGGGAAUGUGGCACCUCCGGGUGUGUUAUAGCCUUUGGUAGACGUGAUGAUUGGGAUUGAGGAUUGCAACGGAUACCCUUCGGGCUACCUGUCUGAUCUCUGAAGGUUGCUCCGGUGCCGAAAGCGUGCUUAUGGUCAUCGAAAGUGAUUUUCAAAAGGUUAGAACGGGUUAAAUUCGUUAAGGAUGUUGACGUAAUGG
rnacentral:rRNA from 1 species